GAAACUGAUUGGUGAAUUUUGCUAAACGUCAACAGAAGUUUUGCUUGUCUGCUGUGACAGCGGCAUCACAACAAACGGUUGUGUGCUUGACAGUUAGGAGCAAGAAGAUGCCGAAUGAGGCCGAGGAAGAUAUAUUUGCAAAUUCAGCCAAGAAUGUGUUCGGUGAUGACACAUCCUGUUGCUACGAUCUGCCUCCAGAUCUGGAAGACUUGUUGCUUUUUGGCAACAAUGUGAAUCUUCUUGAUGAAAUUGCCGCACUUGCGCAAAUAAGCGAAGAGGAGAUAGAAAAUUUGGCAUCAGGUGGAGGUAAAUAUCAAAAGCGGUGAUGAAAGAAUUGAAGAGAAAAUUAUUGUCAGAUUCAUUUUGUGUAUGAAUAUGAUAAGCAAAUUCAUAGAAGAUGGAAACAAAAUUAGGGUAGUGAUAGCCCUGCAACAGAUGUCUAAUUAGAAAUAAGCUUUGAAAACUAAGACUAUCUCAAAUACCUCUACCUUGGAAUGUCAGCUUUCAUGAAAUAUGCCUGUUUGGUAAAGUGCAGAUCACCAAAUUGGAAGAAAAGACAAAAAGUUUAACUUUUUAAUGUGUAUUCAGCAUUAAUUACUGAUUAAUUGGAGUAUUGUACAGUAUCUUCAUCUGUAGUUGCUGUAAAAGUAUUGACAUCAAGAGAAACAGAUUUUUAAGGAAGUAAA
rnacentral:misc_RNA from 1 species